GAUCCUGGCUCAGGAUGAACGCUGGCGGCGUGCUUAACACAUGCAAGUCGAGCGAAGCACUUAUGAAAGAUUCUUCGGAUGAAUUCAUUUGUGACUGAGCGGGCGGACGGGUGAGUAACACGUGAGUAACCUGCCCUCUUCUUUGGGAUAACGCCCGGAAACGGGUGCUAAUACUGGAUAUUCACUUGCCUUCGCAUGGGGGUGGGUGGAAAGGGUUUUUUCUGGUGGGGGAUGGGCUCGCGGCCUAU
rnacentral:rRNA from 1 species